rnacentral:rRNA from 1 species
UACGAAGGGUGCAAGCGUUACUCGGAAUUACUGGGCGUAAAGCGUGCGUAGGUGGUUCGUUAAGUCUGUCGUGAAAGCCCCGGGCUCAACCUGGGAAUGGCGAUGGAUACUGGCGAGCUAGAGUGCGGUAGAGGAGAGUGGAAUUCCUGGUGUAGCGGUGAAAUGCGCAGAUAUCAGGAAGAACACCCGUGGCGAAAGCGGCUCUCUGGAACGGUACUGACGCUGAGACGCGAAAGCGUGGGGAGCGAACAGG